rnacentral:tRNA from 1 species
ACCAGGAUGGCCGAGUGGUUAAGGCGUUCGACUUAAGAUCCAAUGGGCAGAAGCCCUCGUGGGUUCGAACCCCGCUCCUGGUA